rnacentral:rRNA from 1 species
UACGAAGGGGGCUAGCGUUGCUCGGAAUCACUGGGCGUAAAGGGUGCGUAGGCGGGUCUUUAAGUCAGGGGGGAAAUCCUGGAGCUCAACUCCAGAACUGCCUUUGAUACUGAGGAUCUUGAGUACGGGAGAGGUGAGUGGAACUGCGAGUGUAGAGGCGAAAUUCGUAGAUAUUCGCAAGAACACCAGUGGCGAAGGCGGCUCACUGGCCCGUAACUGACGCUGAGGCACGAAAGCGUGGGGAGCAAACAGG